CCCCGCAGGUCCGGCUUCGGAGUGUCUUAAAAACAGUCAUUUCGAAACCGAACGCCCCAAUUCCGAAGUCGCAGCGAGAGACUUUUCCUCACCGUCGUUUCCGCCCAAUUGCUUUGGAAGGGCAGUCGCUAACCCUGUCGGCACGUAUUCCUCCGGCGACGAAGUAGAGUAACUGAUGUUCAUUGCCAUUGCUGCAGACGUCGUCACAGUCAGGUGUUCAUUGAGGGGUUCUCCAGAAUUGGCCGCGUUGUUCUCACGCAGAAAAAACGGAAGAGCUGGCUCUAUUGGUGCGGCUUUGGUAGUUUUCUCAGUUGUUAACUAAAUUGUUGAUUACAAGUGCAGAUAGUUGCAGUUGUUCGCUAACAUUGAAGAGAUUACUCCGAUUAAAUGGAAAUAUUCAAGAAGGCUAUACUGCAGCCAGGGCCAAUUGAAAGUUUUGCUCUCCAGACAGUUCAAGAGGUCAUAAAACAUCAGAGACAAACGAAACUAGCCCAAGAUGAAAA